rnacentral:rRNA from 1 species
CACGGUAAACGAUGGAUGCCCGCUGUUGGCGAUACAGUGUCAGCGGCCAAGCGAAAGCGUUAAGCAUCCCACCUGGGGAGUACGCCGGCAACGGUGAAACUCAAAGGAAUUGACGGGGGCCCGCACAAGCGGAGGAACAUGUGGUUUAAUUCGAUGAUACGCGAGGAACCUUACCCGGGCUUGAACUGCAGAGGAAGGAAUGAGAGAUCAUGACGCCCUUCGGGGUCUCUGUGGAGGUGCUGCAUGGUUGUCGUCAGCUCGUGCCGUGAGGUGUCGGCUUAAGUGCCAUAACGAGCGCAACCCUUUUCUUCAGUUGCCAUCAGGUUAAGCUGGGCACUCUGGAGACACUGCCACCGUAAGGUGUGAGGAAGGUGGGGAUGACGUCAAAUCAGCACGGCCCUUACGUCCGGGGCUACACACGUGUUACAAUGGGUGAUACAGAGCGUCGGCGUCUGGCAACAGCCGUCCAAUCGCUAAAGUCAUCCUCAGUUCGGAUUGGGGUCUGCAACCCGACC